rnacentral:misc_RNA from 1 species
GGAGCGGGCGGUUUCCAGACCGCUACCGAUGCCGGUGUUGGUCAGAUCCUGCACGGCGAACGAGUUCAGCCCGAACAGCUGGUACGAUUGUCCGAACAGGACAUUGAUGGAGCCGCCGCGGUCGAACUGCGUGGUCGCCUGAACGCCGACAUUGGCACGGCCGCCGCCUUCGACNUCAUAGCCCGAGAACUUGUCGACGCGGAACAGGUUGCUGUCGUCGAAAGUAAAGCUCUGUGCGUCUUCGUUCGGAAGACGGCCGGCGCUCGGCUCAUUGGGACGGAUGAUCAACUGGCCGAUCGGUUCGAUUGUCGUGGUGCCCCACGGCUGCACAUUGAUGAAUGGAUAGCGAUACUCGAGC